UGUUGUCUUCGGACAACCAGCUAAUGCUUCAGCACUCUGUGAGAAGCGCCUUCGGGUGAGUGCCAACCAAAGUUUCAGCGGUCUGUGAGAAACACCUUCGGGUGACUGCAAAUAGCCUCGUAGCCUGCAAGAGGCAGCCCAUGUGGCGGUAACUCC
rfam:Serratia proteamaculans 568, complete genome.